rnacentral:rRNA from 1 species
AAAUGAACAAGGUCUCCGUAGGUGAACCUGCGGAGGGAUCAUUAC